CAAUCCAUCCGGACAAGAAAGAGAGGAAAGAGAGGAAAGAAAAGAAGGACAAGAAAGAGAUGAGGAGCGAAAGAGAAAAAGAGUGGAAGGAGAUGACGGAAGACCGAGUCAAGACCCGCUACCUUAUUUUGAUAUCCCCGACAUUUCUUUUUCCCCCCUUCCUCCUUCUUUUUCCCCCCUUCCUCCUUCUUUU
rnacentral:ribozyme from 1 species